UUCAUGGGACUUGAUCCUAGAUCUGCAGGACUUCAGGUUGGCAGCGCCUGGGAGUACCAGGAAGUCAUUUAGGGAACAAAGCAGAUCCCUGCCCUCUACUGAGCCAGUCUCCACCUUCUUCCUGGUUCCUGCCUCCAUACGCCACUCUGCCCUGCCCUCCAGUUCCUGGCUAUUGACUCUGACAUGACCCUUGGCUCUGGUCUCUGGCUGCUGACCUUGGCGUGACCCUUGGCUCUAGUUGUUGGCUACAAACUCUGGCUCAGUAUUGUCCUUGUCCCCUUCUUGCCUCGCUCCAGCCCCACCACUGACCCAGUCCAGCCUUGCCUCCUCCUUCUGAUCCUCCCCAGACACUUGAACUCUGACUACCUGGCUUCAAAUUUCUAUCUGAAUCUGGACUCUGGCUUGAUAUUGACUUGGCUUAUCUUUGAACUCAGACCACCCAACCUUGACCUCUGGCUUGCACCUGGAUUCUGGCUCUGGUUCUGAUUCUGGUUUGUCCAUGGACUCUGAUCUUGGUUUUGACCUUGCCCUGUCCCCGGAUCUUGAUUCCAGCACCACCCUUCACCCAGGUCUAGUCCUAUGCCUAACUGUGACCUGUGCUCCAAUCACUAGACCUAAUUAUAGGAACCAGCACCUGACACCAGUUGGUGCAACUUUUUGCAGAAAACUGGCCCUUUGCUAGUAUGUGGCCCAUAUGCAAGAGGGGACACAUCACACCAGGUGUGAACAAUGGCCUUGCUAACUGAGCCUGGUCCUGUGGUGCCCCUACCAGAAUGGUUCAAUGGAAAUGACUGAAAAUGUAGGGAUUUCUUAACCAGCCUCUGCCCCUGGACCUACCCCAACCAUCAGGCUAAGGGGGAAUUGGUAACUAGUUUAUUGACCAAUGAGGUGCUAGAUUGGGCCUCACCUCUACUCAAACAGAAUUGUCUGGUGAUAACACACUGGAGCACGUUCCGAUGAUUGGCUGAAGCUCUCCUGCCAAAAUUCUAGCAGGCACAUAGGCCAGCCGUCUUGUAUACCAUGCAGUUCUGAUGGCUUGCGGCCAAUGCUGAGUGGAACCAGGUGGCCCAGUUUUAUCAUUUCUGCUGUGCACUCAGUGAAGUGUUCAAGGAGGAGUUAGCCUGGCUAAAAGCUCUCAUGGCCUGGAAAGCUUCACUGAUCUAGCCAUCCACAUUGAGAACUGCCAUUGUGAGUGCAGGGAGGAAAAGAGAGGAGGGUGUUACACAGCUGCCUCACCCAGGUUCUGCACUAACCUCUUGAGCUCAUCUCUGAAACCUAUGCAGGUCAAUGUGGCCCACUGACGCUUGACCCCCAAGGAAAGGGAGUGAAGUCAGCACAAUAACUUCUUGUUCUACUGUGGCAGGCCAGGGCACGCACUCACUUCCUGCCUCUCAUGGACCCCAGCCAGAAAAGUAUUGGGGGAAAAAACAAGCCCAAAUUUUCAUGGAAACCCAGCUGGGUCUACUAGGGUCCUUACCGCAUCUCCAAGUUCCAGUUCAGUUGUGCAUCUCCAGAGAAAUAUGACAGGUGGCACUGCAUUAGGCACUUAUUGAUUCUGGGUCUUCAGACAAUAUCAUAAAUUUCGAGACAGCCCAAGGUCUGCAUAUCUUGUCCGGCAGAAGUCACAUCAGAUGUUGUGGAAAUCAUUGACAAGAUCCUCUUGUCCUCAGGACUGAUGACUCAGAUGAUGGUGCCCGUGAAAGCGGUAACCCAGGCUCUGCGAUCUGUCCGUGCCUCCUACAUCAAUGGAGCCUGCAGCUGGCCCAGAUUGAGGAGCCAUGACCUUAUCCUGUCAAGCGAGAACAACUGCUUCUUAGUGAUGCUUAGAUGACAAAUCACACCCCCCUCAUGGAGGAAAAGCAUCUCCAAAGGAGGUGUAAUGAUCCUGGACUCUAUUGCCUGCACGAAGCUUCAGAUUGGAGCUCCAGCAGAUUCCCCUGAAGAACACCACCCUGUCUUUCUGUUGUCAGGCUAGGGCUCUCCCUCUGUCAUGGAGGUGAAGACCGGAUAGGAGCUGAUGGAUUGACUUUGAUAUGUCAUGUCCUUGUGUGGAUGAGGGACCUACAUCACAGAGAUGGCCAGUAGCAGAUGUACCACAUGUGGCCAGGAAUGGGCUACACAACUUAUAAUGAUAGUCCUGUGCUUGGACCACACUCCAGUGCAACAGUCCGUAAAUUAGCCUCCCACCUGAACAACAACCAGCCAGCACUUCCGCAUCCUGGCCUGGAGCAGAAAACUGAGGAUCUUGCAGGAGAUUCCUCAGAGUCCUGAUGGCAAAGACCUGCUGCCCCGGUGGUUUGGGCCACGGUGUUCUGUACUGAGGAACCGGUCCUUUCUCUGCAGGUUGCAGGGAUCUGAAAUUGUUUGCUGCCCCUGCUGUUGCUGUACCCUGGAGAAGGGUAUUUGUCUAGAGCUGAAUUUGUGAUACCAGGGCUAGAUACUGCUGACCUUAUUUACUGACAGCUGUCAGUGGCAGUUCUGUGUGGGCGAGGUCUGCAAGAAUGCACCUCAUCUGAAUGGGUGAUCUCUUACCAACACAGAACUUUGUGGGCUGGACUGUACCCUCUGUGUGCAAUUCCACUGGCCAGUAGAGAUGCACAAGUAGUUAGCUUUGGAGAGAAGGUUUGUCUAAACCUAAUACCUUUGGGAGGCUUGGGUGGAAGCUGCUAGAGAUAAGGAGACACUAAUUCAUGACCCCUCCCAGGCCUUCCAAGAUUGGUCACUAUUAUCUCCAUUAUCUGGGUAUCAGAGGGAAAGUGACUGGCUGUUAAGUCACACACAGCAUCACGGACAGAAGCAGAAGCCAAUGCCGGAAGCAAUCCAGCUCCACCCACUAGACCACGCACCCUUCCAGAGCCACAGAACCCAGGAGUCCUGACUCAGACCUGUGCCUUACAUCACCUGGCCAAACCUCCUCCUGUUAAGGGAGCUGGAGAAGGGACCGUCGGCAGUGACCCCCUCCUCUACAUUCCCACUUUUGGAGACCAUUGCAAUGGGUGACAAGUGAAUGAGCAGAGAGCUCCCCUGUGGGAAUCCUAUGGGUGCACAGUUGGGUUUCAUGGGGAAGGCCUCUGGCAGCCAUUGACAGAGUGUUCCAUUGAGGAGAUUUUCUUUCUCUAACAAAGGGUUUCUGUUCCCCCAGAUCAUCGGCCACUUAGCAGAAUGCGAAAGAGUUGUGUGGUGAUGGGCUAGAGGAGUGACCAAAUGGCUGUGCAGCAGGUGCAGUGCCUGCAGUCACCAUGGGUCAAACUCUACAACCCAGGCUAAGUCCCCCCUGAUUUGGCUUGGGAAUCAGUUGCUGGUACCUGUGUCCCUAGACAGAGACUGAGAUGUUUUCAUGAAGCAACUGAGUGGUACAUGCAGCUCCAUCCAGACAAGUACGUUCAAGAGCGAAGCUGGGACUUUUCUGAAGCUGCUGCAGUCAAGUGUCCACAGUGAGAAGAGAGAUGAUGGGAAACUUGCUAAGAUGGCUGGCAGCAGUGCUGAAAAAGCAGUCUGGCAGCUAGUUCAUUGGAAAUAAAUAGGAACUAAAUAUUAAGGGGUUUUUCCUGCCCAAUAAAGUGUUUAAAAUGUGUCUCUUUACCAUUGCUCUAACCUUUACAAUAUCCUUGUAUAAUUUUAGGGGGGGCGGGGGAUGUCUAAAUGUAAUAGGUCACUUUUAGGAGCAUGAAGUAUCUGGUUCAAUCUUGAAGCACCUAAUUCUACAACUUGAGCUGAACUGAACAAAUGCCUCAGGUGGUAGCAGUAGUAAGCUCCCAUCCUCUGUGCACUAGCUGCCAGGGAGGCACUCAAUACAUAGGGUCAUAGAGCGGCAUGAGGUUCCCCUUGCAAGAGCUGCCUGUUGACACUGCCCUUGUCGGGAAGCACCUCAGAAUACUAUGGACUGGGCAUGAGCAACAUGCCUCCAAACCUGCACAGCCUGAGGAUCCAGAGAGCUCUGUUCCUGAUCUCAAAGCUUCCUCAGAGCAACUGAGGAGCCAGACUGUACCUGGACUCUCUCUCUCCUUCUCCCUGUCCCAGCAGCAAAGAAGCUGUUUGCACAGAUGUCAAGUGCCAUCUCCCGUAACACUCACAUGUGGGCCACUGAUGCAUUUGUAGGGUCCAGGCUGAAGGCCACACACUCCUCUGGGCUGUGGGAAGCAGGAGGACUUGUGUGACAAUAAAUCUUUCUAUGCACCUGCUGAGCAAGCAACCUUUCUGCUCCCCUUGCUUGUUUCCAGCCCUCAGGAAGCACCAAGGGGUAAGGAGGCAGUGAUAUACUUGCCCCAAAGGUGGGUGUGGGGGAAGAAGCAGAUCUAAAAGACAUCAGACAGCCAUGCUAUAGCAUUCUCCUUAGAUUCAUUCCAACAACCACGUGGCUCCUUCCUGCCACAGGUCACACCAUUUAGGUUCCCAUUGUUUAGGGUUACCAUAU